rnacentral:rRNA from 1 species
UACGUAGGCAGCAAGCGUUGUUCGGAGUUACUGGGCGUAAAGGGUGCGUAGGCGGCCGUGUAAGUGUGGUGUGAAAUCUCCCGGCUUAACUGGGAGGGUGCGCUACAGACUGCAUGGCUAGAGUGUGGGAGAGGAAAGUGGAAUUCCUGGUGUAGCGGUGAAAUGCGUAGAUAUCAGGAGGAACACCGGUGGUGUAAACGGCUUUCUGGACCAUAACUGACGCUGAUGCACGAAAAGCGUGGGUAGCAAACAGG